GGUAACCACCUGUUGCUAUGGUGAGGUCACCCUGCCAACAGUUCAGCUCUGGAGGAAGUGACCCUGGGGCAGUGAACAGCAUCCUCCUGGGGUUUGCGAGCAUUGAAGCAGCAUCUCACUGGCUUCCUGAUCCAAGCCUUGGUUAAUGCUGUCCCAGCCCAGCUUCAUCUGGCUCCCUCUGGGGAGCUGUUCAGAAGCUCUUUCAGCUCCUUCAACAGGGUUGCUGCAGAGGAGAUGGGAAGUAGCUGGAAGAGCAGUGAAUGCUGGCAGCUGAGCACAGCUUUUUGGGCAUGCUGACACCAUGGAGCAUUUGUUGUCAGGAUGUCUUUGUGUCCUGGAUGGGCUCUCAGAAGCCCCCAGGAAGCACACCCUUGCCGGAAAGAAAGAAAGCACUUUCACAGUUACUCAGAGAUGCUCCAGUUGCUGAAGCAAAAGUCUUCUCCCUGCUUUACUCCUCUAUUUCCCUCACUAGGGUAGAGGGAAAUAGCAUAGGUCACCUUCCUCAAGAAGCACCAUCCUUGCCUAGGAAGAAGAAGAGGAGGAGAAGCUGCAGUGAAGAGCAGCAAAGUAAAAGAAGAUGCAAAUACAAUGUUUCCCCUCUCAGUGCCUAAACCUCUUCUCUGGACAUAUUUGCCUGUUUGUAUGAUGGAGGCUUUCAUCUGAAGACCUAAAUGCUGUCAGAAGGAGGCUGCUGGGCAGGAUGGGUGCCUGCUUUAAUAUUAAGUGAGAUCAUCAACACAAUAAACAGGGCUGAGAAGGAGCAAAACUGGGACAGUUCUGCCACACCUGAAGUAAGAAGAGGGACUUGGACAUCCUUUCCUAUUAUUUUCUUCACUAUGCAAGAAAAAAAUGAAGCACCCACAGAGGGCAAUGUCAAGAUAAUAACAGGAUGGCAUACGAGGCUGCCAAGUGCUUGCAAAAGGCAAAGAGACAGGAUACUUCAUCCUAUUGACCUCCAGUGCUGGCUUCUUUCUCCGUGCUUGUAACAUGAACUGUCUGGAAGCAAAAUGUCUUUGGAGCAGAAAUAAACUCCCAGACCUCAAAGUA